CGGCGGACGGGUGAGUAAUGCCUAGGAAUCUGCCUGGUAGUGGGGGACAACGUUUCGAAAGGAACGCUAAUACCGCAUACGUCCUACGGGAGAAAGCAGGGGACCUUCGGGCCUUGCGCUAUCAGAUGAGCCUAGGUCGGAUUAGCUAGUUGGUGAGGUAAUGGCUCACCAAGGCGACGAUCCGUAACUGGUCUGAGAGGAUGAUCAGUCACACUGGAACUGAGACACGGUCCAGACUCUACGGGAGGCAGCAGGU
rnacentral:rRNA from 1 species